rnacentral:rRNA from 1 species
AAACUUACCAGGUCAAGACAUGGGCGUGAUUGACAGGCUAAUGACUUUUCUCGAUUCCAUGGAUGGUGGUGCAUGGUCGCACUUAGUUGGUGCAGUGAUUUGUCAGGUUUAUUCCGGUAACGAACGAGACCUCGGCCUUGUAAAUAGCUAUGCUGCUUACAGGGACAUUGGCGGCUACGCCAAGGAAGCUCGAGGCAAUUGCAGAUCUGGAAUGCCCUUAGAUGUCCUGGGUCGCACGCGUGCUACAAUGACGCCACGAACGAGCUUGCGUGAUGAAAGUUACGCAUAAUCAGCAGUCGGCGUCUUAAGGGAUAGUCUCUUGUAACUGUGGGACUCCAACUAGGAAUGUCUCGUAAGCACAAGUCAACAUCUUGUGUUGAUUACGUCCCUGCUCUUUGUACACACCGCCCGUCGCUCCUACCGAUCGAGUGUUUAGGUGAAUUUGAUGGACGUAAGGAAGUCAAAUAAACCUGAGCACUAGAGAAGAGAAGUCUACAUCC